UACAGAGGGUGCGAGCGUUGUCCGGAAUCACUGGGCGUAAAGGGCGCGUAGGCGGCUUGAUAAGGUUGCGGUGAAAGCCCGGGGCUCAACCCCGGGUCGGCCGUGGCAACUGUCGAGCUGGAGCACUGUAGAGGCAGGUGGAAUUCCGGGUGUAGCGGUGGAAUGCGUAAAGAUCCGGAAGAACACCGGUGGCGAAGGCGGCCUGCUGGGCAGUUGCUGACACUGAGGCGCGACAGCGUGGGGAGCAAACAGG
rnacentral:rRNA from 1 species